CUGCUGAGUGCCCAGAUCCUGGGCCAGGAGGGCUGCAGGGCCAGUCCCCCGGGCCAGGCAGGCAUUAUGGGGCCUUGGCCUCAGGUCAGUGUCCCCCACCCUCCAUGCCUGCCCAGUGGAGCCUGGCCCGCUGGAGAGCAUAUGUGGUUACCGUGGUUCUCUGCUACAUCAACCUCUUGAACUACAUGAACUGGUUUGUCAUUGCAGGAGUGCUGCUGGAUGUACAGAAGUCUUUUCAGAUCAGUGACAGCAAUGCUGGCUUGCUUCAGACAGUUUUCAUCGGCUGCCUGCUGGUGUCUGCACCUGUGUUUGGCUACCUGGGUGACCGCUAUAGCCGCAAGGCCACACUGAGCUUUGGGAUCCUACUCUGGUCAGGGGCUGGCCUCUCUAGCUCCUUCAUCACCCUUCAGUAUUCUUGGCUCUUCUUCCUGGCCCGGGGAGCUGUGGGUAUUGGCACAGCCAGCUAUUCCACCAUUGCUCCCACUCUCCUGGGCGACCUCUUCGUGCAGGACCAGCGAACCCGAGUGCUGGCCAUCUUCUACAUCUUCAUCCCUGUUGGAAGUGGUCUGGGCUAUGUGCUGGGGUCAGCUGUGGCAAAGCUGACUGGGAACUGGCGUUGGGCCCUCCGAAUCAUGCCCUGCCUGGAAGCUGUGGCCUUGAUCCUGCUCAUCCUGCUGGUUCCAGACCCACCCAGAGGAGCUGCUGAGAAGCAGGAGGAGAUAGCAGUGGGGAACCCGAGGAGCAGCUGGUGUGAGGAUGUCAGAUACCUGGGGAGAAACUGGAGUUUUGUGUGGUCGACACUUGGAGUGACAGCUAUGGCUUUUGUGACUGGAGCCCUGGGCUUCUGGGCACCCAAGUUUCUGUUCGAGGCCCGUGUGGUGCAUGGGCUGCAACUUCCCUGCUUCCAGGAGCCAUGUAGCAGUGAGGACAGCCUGAUUUUUGGGGCACUGACCAUUGUGACUGGCAUCAUUGGUGUCAUCCUGGGGGCUGAAGCUGCAAGGAGGUACAAGAAAGUGAAUCCUAGGGCUGAACCCCUCAUCUGUGCCUUCAGCCUGCUUGCCACAGCCCCCUGCCUCUACCUGGCACUCAUCUUGGCUCCAACCGCCCUCCUGGCCUCCUAUGUGUUCCUGGCCCUUGGGGAGCUGCUCCUAUCCUGCAAUUGGGCAGUGGUUGCUGACAUCCUGCUGGCAGACUCCAUGGCCUGCUUUCUGGAGAGUACAGAGGAGCUGCUGGACUUCAGGGAAGUAACCACUGAGCUCAGCUGGGUCCAGCCCACCCCACCCCAUGUGUCAUGGGCUGGAAUGCAAGGGGCUGGCUCAUCCAUCAUGAGGUCAGAUGCUGUGCUGACCACACUACUCUGCUAUGUACAUAAUCCAGUGGCCCAGGCUCAGCCAGCGUGGAGAGCGCUGCCCUGUCUUUGGCCCUGUCCGUGGUGGUGCCCAGGUGCCGGGGGACAGCAGAGGCGCUUCAGAUCACAAUGGGCCACAUUCUUGGAGAUGCCGGCAGCCCCUACCUCACAGGACUCAUCUCCAGUACCCUGCGUGCAAGGCGCUCUGACUCCUACCUGCAGCGCUUUCUCAGCCUGCAGCAGAGCUUCCUGUGCUGUGCCUUUGCCAUUGCCCUGGGUGGUGGCUGCUUCCUACUGACUGCAUUGCACCUGGAGAGAGACCAGGCCCAGGCCUGGCAGCCUGGCACAGGUACCCUGGACGGCAAGAACAAGGAGCGCCAUGGCCUGCUUUCUGGCACCAGCACCUCCACAUAGGAGCCCUGAGGCCCUUACUCUGCAGUGAGGAGGUCCCUAACAGUACCAGUACCUCUGCCCUUCAUGGCUGUGACUCAGAGACCCCAGCCUAACUGCACCUGUCACUUGUUCUCCAGGCUAGAGGGCUGGCAAGGCCCAGCAGCUGGCUGGGGAUUGAACUGUUGGUGCUCUCUAGGGAGACUGGCCUGGGCCUGCAUCCAGCACAAGGCCCCUCCUGCCUACAGGCCUCAGCCUGGCUGCCCACAGCCUUGAUUAAAGCAGGGCCAGUGCAAAGCUCACAGAUGUCAGGUCUUCAGACAGUCCUGUCAUUUACAGCCUCACAGAAUCUCUGCAGGAAGGGGGAGGGGGAGAAGAAGAGCGGGGCAGUCCAGGCCCAGGAUGUAUGGUGGCUCACUAAAGUGGAGACACUGAGGGGAGCACUCAGCUUGGGCCUCUAGGUGUUCCCACCCUGGACCCAGCUUCUCCAGGCUGCAAGGUCGUCAAUCCUCCCUCUAAAUAGAAGGUGGUCUUGGAGAUAAGUUUGCACUCAGAGCUGGUGUGGGGGUGUGCCCCUUAGAGGAGUAUCCAAGCCUGCACAGAAGCACAGCAGCUGCCCCUGAACCACGUGGAGAGCCUGACAUGGUUGUGCCCUAUCCUGGGUACCCCUCCCCCUCAGCACUGUCUGUGGCUCUGUGGGACCUAUACACGUAACUGGGUUCAGAGCAGCUGGGCUCAGCGGACCCUGCAGGAGAUCAACAGCUUCCAGGCAGGCAGCAGUAGGGAGGCAUGUUUCUUCUCUCCCUGAACCAGAGCUUCCAUCACCGCCCCUGGAGCCUGGCCAGGUCAUUACUCCCUCUCUUGUUGAUUGCCUCUAAGCAGCCAUGGGUGGAGCAGUGGCUCUGGCCUCCUGCACCACCUUGCCUGCCUCUGGUCCUUGCCUGCCUCAUGGGUACCUCCUUGACUCUCACUGUUGGCUAUGACAGGUCCCAGACUCUCCAACUCAGCCCACACUUUCCUCCAGGGUCAGCCCUCCUGAAGAGCAAGCAUCUCCAGGCCGACCAGCCCUGAUCCAAGGCUUGAUACCUAGAGCUCAUGAAACAGCUACCCUGAAGUUUCGAGGAAAUGCAUCUGAAUGAUAGUUCGCUUCCCAAAGAGGAGGCAGCCAGUCUGAGCUGGAGCAGAAUUCCAUUCCCCCUCAGCAUUCACUGGCUGUGUGACCAGGGCCACCUCCGACCUCUGUCUGAGCUCUAUUUGAUUCCCCAGCUCUAUUUGAGAGGUGUCAAAUGUAGGUUUCUAGCCCAGGCCCCAUGUGAUUCUCCCAGGUUGGCUCUAGACCCACAGAAGCCCAACUCCAAAGUCUGAACAUUCCACCUACCAGCCCUGGGGAGCUGUGAGGCUCAGCAUCCAGAAAUGGGCAAGGGAUCCCUGAGAGUUCUCCCCACCCCCCUUUCCAGUGGCUGAGGAGGAAGAUCAGAAAUCUUAUCCAUGCCAAUUCUGCAUACAUAUAUUGGUAUGCCUUCAAGGUGUCAGGUAGUGAAUGACACUUGAACUCUGCCCUAAGACCUCCCAGUCCAAGGCAGGACAGAGAUCCCUGGGCUAGUCCAAGUGAGACACUCCUGUGAGAAGGGACCACUCGGAAGCCUUCCAGGAGCUGGUAAAAGUGGGAGGUGUGGGGGAAGGGAAUCCUAGGUGAAUGGAACAGGACAAAGUUCAGGAUGUGAGGCAGAAGACGUGAGGAAUCACAGAAGUGUGGUGUGACUGGAGAGGAGAAUGUGUGUAUUGUUGGUGGGGAGAGGAGGACCUGGGCUUCUGCCCUCUGAUCCAGGGUACUCCAAUGCUGGGUUCCUGGGCAAGGCAAGGUGGUGCUUCCCAAGAUGCUCAGCUAGGAGUUUAUAAGAUGUCAUCUUCCAAAGUGGUCUGGGGAGAGCUGGAGCGCUGGGACUGGCUCAUCUUGGGAAGGACGGAGACCAAUAUCUUGUCUGAAGACAAAGGUCCUAGCUUUGCUCAGCUCCUAUCUCCUGUCUUUUUGGGACUGGUCACAGUGGGCCGAGGUCACAGGUAUGGGUUCUGUGACAGGUCUGAAGAGCCUGGCCACUCAGGCGAGAGUGGAGGAGUCUCAUAAACAACACAUCUUACCUGCCUGAAGGGUACUUGAGUAAUCCCAGUCACCGAUAGAUACACUGGACUCGUUUACUGGGAAUGUCAACAGGAGGGAAAAUGCUGCUCAGCGAGACAAGUCCUGAAGCCUGACCUUGCUCACUUCAAUAACUUGGUUUCCAGGUUAGACCCUGGCUGGCAGGUGUGCCUGUCCAUAUGCAUGUGUACUCGAAGUGGCUCACGCUCAUCUCUAUGUAGGUGUGUGAGCAUGUGAGGGGUGUUUAUAGGGUAUUCAUAAAAGCUCUCCUUCCUCUCUGACCAUAGGCUUGGGGCAUUGAUACCUACACCCCAGCCCUGGCUUGUUCACCUACAUCACCAUUCCCUGAAGUGUGUGACUUUCCCCCAUGCCCGGGUGGUCUAGAGGUUGUUAAGCUAAGAAGGUCUGUAAAGAAGAGCUGGCAGGAAUCACUGCUAGAGCCUGGCUUUACUCCCAUACAGGUUGCUGAGUGGCAGCAUCGGCCCCUCUGGAUGGAACGCAUUAGUAUGGGCUGUGGUUUGUGUGCAACAGAAAUGGACUGACUACCUUAAGUAGGAAAGGGGUUUAUUGGAGGCAUAUCAGGAGCUUACAGAAUUGAUGGGAAGGCUGCAGAUUCUAGAGCCAGGGUUGCUGGGCUACUUUAUUUGGAGGUCUUCAUUAGGUUUCCAGACAUUUUCCCUAUUCUUUUGCCACCUACUCAAAAUUUAAAGUCCUGUGCAUGAGACUCCAUUUGGGGUGGCUUGGACCCCGUGCCCAUGCCUAAUCUAUAGUUUCAUUAAGACCAGGAAACCAGAGCCCUGUUAGGAAGAAGAAUGAAUGAAUUCUAUUAUCAAAACAAAGCAGCAAGGCUGACAGUAUUGCUCAGUGGCAAAGUGCUUGCCUAGCAUGCUUG